rnacentral:rRNA from 1 species
GGUGUUGCAUGGCUGUCGUCAGCUCGUGUCGUGAGAUGUUGGGUUAAGUCCCGCAACGAGCGCAACCCUCAUCCUUAGUUACCNNNNGGUAAUGCUGGGGACUUUAAGGAAACUGCCAGUGAUAAACUGGAGGAAGGUGGGGAUGAUGUCAAGUCAUCAUGGCCCUUAUGGAGUGGGCUACACACGUGCUACAAUGGUGGCUACAAUGGGCUGCAAAGUCGCGAGGCUAAGCUAAUCCCUUAAAANNNAUCUCAGUUCGGAUUGUACUCUGCAACUCGAGUGCAUGAAGUUGGAAUCGCUAGUAAUCGUGGAUCAGCACGCCACGGUGAAUACGUUCCCGGGUCUUGUACACACC